AUGUCAACCGCACCGUCGGCAAGUCAACCACCAGCUGAUUGGUGGUCCAAUCAUGGGUCAAGUGCACCAAAUCUCAGGGUAUUGGCGAUGCGGAUUUUGAGUUUGACAUGCAGCUCCUCGGCUUGUGAGAGGAAUUUCAGUGUUUUUCAGCAGAUUCACACAAAAAGACGCAAUAGGCUACUUCAUGACAAAAUGAGAGACCUUGUGUUCAUCAAGUUCAACUCCAAACUAAAGCAAAAGAGAGGGAUGAAAAACAGGGACCCAAUUGAGGACCACACAUUUGUAGAUGUUGUAGAAGAUGAAGGCAAUGAGUGGAUCACUGGUGUUGUGCCUAUUGAAGGAGUGCAAACAGGAUUUGAACCUGAAGAUGUACAAGUUGUAGAACCAACAUUAGAAGGAGAAGUUGCUCCAUCAAAAAGAAAGAUAGUGUCUCAAUCUCGUCCUAGGAAGAAGAAGAAGUUGCUUCCUAUUUAUCGUGAUGAUGAGUUGCAAUCAGCUGAGUCUUCUUCUGAAUCGGAAGAUGAUGACAUGCAUUUACCAGUGAGUGAUUCUGAAUAA
rnacentral:rRNA from 1 species